UACGAAGGGGGGCUAGCGUUGCUCGGAGUUACUGGGCGUAAAGGGUGUGUAGGCGGUUCUUUUUAAGUUUGCUGUGAAAUCUCCCGGCUUAACCGGGAGGGUGCGGUGAAUACUGAGGGACUAGAGUACGGGAGAGGAAAGUGGAAUUCCUGGUGUAGCGGUGAAAUGCGCAGAUAUCAGGAAGAACACCCGUGGCGAAAGCGGCUCUCUGGAACGGUACUGACGCUGAGACGCGAAAGCGUGGGGAGCGAACAGG
rnacentral:rRNA from 1 species